GAGGGUAUAGCUCAAGUGGUAGAGUGCAUGCUUAGCAUUCACGAGGUCCUGGGUUCAAUCCCCAGUAUCUCCC
rnacentral:tRNA from 1 species